AGCAGGCCUCUCUGUUCCUAAUUCAGUAACACGAGGAGAGUCACCACCAUUUUCCUUAACCUUCAGUUCCGAGGAAUUUGUGGCAUCUCCAACUGCCGCGCCUAUUGCAGCCUCACCAUCUUUGUUAUCGGAUGCCGAUACAGCCUCACCAAUUUCCUGGUUCACAUCAACCACAGCUUCAGUAGUUUUCCCAACUGGGGCCUGCUUUUGAAUCUGCUGGCUUGCCCUCUUUUCUUGCAUCAACUUCUGUCUGUUCUCAUAGAACUCAAAAUCGUCCAAAAUGGACGUCUUGCAAACAUGUUCCUUGAAAAUCUUUAGAACUCGAAGACCCUGCUCAAGUUU
rnacentral:misc_RNA from 1 species